UGCAAAAUUAUGGUUUUUUUUCUUGAAGUGACACAUCACCUAAGUUAUGCUAGGGUUUUUGGCAAAUUUUGACACAUAAAGCUCAAAAGGUUGCCCAUCACUGUCAUAGACUGUAUUGCUGAGGUCCCUUACCCCCAGUCUAUUCCACUGAUCCUCCUUUCUGUCUCUUAGCCAGUACCAUAUAGUUUUGAUGACCACUGGUUUAUAGUACAGUUUGAGGUCUGGUACUACUAGGCCACCUUCCUUCACGUUUUUUUUUUCAAUAUUUCCCUGAGAACUGUCUCAGAUCAUUGUAUUGCUGUUAGUAGCAAAGUCUAUCACAUUUGAGAAUCCCUGCGUUAAAGAGUUGCUUUCAGAAACAGAAAGGGUAACUAAAUAACUUGCUGGGAUCACAUUUAGUAUCAGAAGCAAGAUGUGAACUCAGAGCCUGAACUCAGAAUCCAACAUUCUUUCCAUUUCUUGUCUCUUAAAAAAACAAAACAAAACAACCAAACAACUCCUAAUUCUUAUCCUUUUAUUUGGUUGGGUCAAGUUUAAAUGUGUUUAUUGUUGGAAAACAUCAUUUUACACUGUUGCUGAUAGAGGGAACUCAGUUGGGUUCAGCAGGUGAUGGGGUCCUCAGUGAAUGUGGCAGUACUCUCAGUAAGCCCAGGAGCCCAUUCCUGCCUUGCCACUCUUUGGUAUGGAAGAACAAAAGCAAGGGGUCUCUGGUGGGUUAUCUUUGAGACAUUGUGGGCUUAAAUCACUCAUAUUACCAUUCAACACAUCAAUCGGUCCCCACCUCCAUCCCACCUCCCUUGAGACUUCUGUGAGACAAGCCUUUUGAGGAAAAGUGCCUGGCUGUGAUUGUUGCUCUGAGGAUGCUGGUUCCCCUGGGGGCUCUGACCUCUGCUAGGGUCAGCAUCCUCUUGUUCUCUCACUGAGGCUGGUUUGUGUCACUUUCACUGCAUCCCUGGGAAGGUCUGCCAGCUGAUCUGUGGCAGGAUAUGCCUCGCCCUCCCAGCUCUUGGCUUAUCCCAGCUGCUGUCUCUCAAAGUAAGCCCUAUCAGGUGAUAUUGCUGCCGCUGUGGAGAGAGGCUUGGCUAACAUGAAUGGAGAGAAAAUAAAAAUCAAACAUCAAGUUAUGGUGUAGAAAGGAGAAACAGAUUCUCUUCAAAUUCAUUCAUUCAUCUGAGAACCAGUGUGUAUCUUCUACCUGCCAGAAGCUGAAUAUCAUUGCUAUUGUGAAGGUAGCAGUUUAUUAACAUGACCUUUAAGAGUUUAUUCACUUCAAAAGGGCUGGCAUGUCAUUUAUUUUAGAUCAAUUAAAACCAAAGAAUUUAUUAAGAUCUGUCUAUGUCUGAGGCACUAUUCUAGGUGUUCGAGUUAAAGCAGAAUAGUCCCUGCACUUAAGGAGCGGCGUAUUAGGUGAUUCAACAUAUAAGAAUGCUUGGAUGAAAUAAAGAGGAUCUGAGUUUAAA